AUGUUGUUCCACCAGGAACUCAUUCAUCAAACUCUACAGAUCUUCCAGGAUGAGGCUCUAGGCUAUAGUUUCCAGCUAGGAAUUUCUGGAAAAACCUUUGACACUGGCUUACACUUAUUGUCUAAUCUCCAUAUACUGCAUUAAUAUUC